GAGGUAGACGAAGCGACCUGGAAAGGUCCGUCGUAGAGGGUAACAACCCCGUAGUCGAAACUUCAUUCUCUCUUGAAUGUAUCCUGAGUACGGCGGAACACGUGAAAUUCCGUCGGAAUCUGGGAGGACCAUCUCCCAAGGCUAAAUACUCCCUAGUGAUCGAUAGUGAACCAGUACCGUGAGGGAAAGGUGAAAAGCACCCCGGAAGGGGAGUGAAAGAGAUCCUGAAACCGUGUGCCUACAAAUAGUCAGAGCCCGUUAAUGGGUGAUGGCGUGCCUUUUGUAGAAUGAACCGGCGAGUUACGAUCCCGUGCGAGGUUAAGCUGAAGAGGCGGAGCCGCAGCGAAAGCGAGUCUGAAUAGGGCGUUUAGUACGUGGUCGUAGACCCGAAACCAGGUGAUCUACCCAUGUCCAGGGUGAAGUUCAGGUAACACUGAAUGGAGGCCCGAACCCACGCACGUUGAAAAGUGCGGGGAUGAGGUGUGGGUAGCGGAGAAAUUCCAAUCGAACCUGGAGAUAGCUGGUUCUCCCCGAAAUAGCUUUAGGGCUAGCCUUAAGUGUAAGAGUCUUGGAGGUAGAGCACUGAUUGAACUAGGGGUCCUCAUCGGAUUACCGAAUUCAGUCAAACUCCGAAUGCCAAUGACUUAUCCUUAGGAGUCAGACUGCGAGUGAUAAGAUCCGUAGUCAAGAGGGAAACAGCCCAGAUCGCCAGCUAAGGUCCCAAAGUGUGUAUUAAGUGGAAAAGGAUGUGGAGUUGCUUAGACAACUAGGAUGUUGGCUUAGAAGCAGCCACCAUUUAAAGAGUGCGUAAUAGCUCACUAGUCGAGUGACUCUGCGCCGAAAAUGUACCGGGGCUAAAUACACCACCGAAGCUGCGAAUUGAUACCAAUGGUAUCAGUGGUAGGGGAGCGUUCUAAGUGCAGUGAAGUCAGACCGGAAGGACUGGUGGAGCGCUUAGAAGUGAGAAUGCCGGUAUGAGUAGCGAAAGACGGGUGAGAAUCCCGUCCACCGAAUGCCUAAGGUUUCCUGAGGAAGGCUCGUCCGCUCAGGGUUAGUCAGGACCUAAGCCGAGGCCGACAGGCGUAGGCGAUGGACAACAGGUUGAUAUUCCUGUACCACCUCUUUAUCGUUUGAGCAAUGGAGGGACGCAGAAGGAUAGAAGAAGCGUGCGAUUGGUUGUGCACGUCCAAGCA
rnacentral:rRNA from 1 species